rnacentral:rRNA from 1 species
GUUAAGCGACUAAGCGUACACGGUGGAUGCCCUGGCAGUCAGAGGCGAUGAAGGACGUGCUAAUCUGCGAUAAGCGUCGGUAAGGUGAUAUGAACCGUUAUAACCGGCGAUUUCCGAAUGGGGAAACCCAGUGUGUUUCGACACACUAUCAUUAACUGAAUCCAUAGGUUAAUGAGGCGAACCGGGGGAACUGAAACAUCUAAGUACCCCGAGGAAAAGAAAUCAACCGAGAUUCCCCCAGUAGCGGCGAGCGAACGGGGAGCAGCCCAGAGCCUGAAUCAGUGUGUGUGUUAGUGGAAGCGUCUGGAAAGGCGCGCGAUACAGGGU